rnacentral:rRNA from 1 species
ACAGCAGCAGCCGCGGGAAUACGGAGGGUGCAAGCGUUAUCCGGAUUUAUUGGGUUUAAAGGGUCCGUAGGCGGACUUAUAAGUCAGUGGUGAAAGCCUGUCGCUUAACGAUAGAACUGCCAUUGAUACUGUAAGUCUUGAGUAUAUUUGAGGUAGCUGGAAUAAGUAGUGUAGCGGUGAAAUGCAUAGAUAUUACUUAGAACACCAAUUGCGAAGGCAGGUUACCAAGAUAUAACUGACGCUGAGGGACGAAAGCGUGGGUAGCGAACAGGAUUAGAUACCCGGGUAGUCCCUGUCUCUUAUAC